CCUACGGGAGGCAGCAGUGGGGAAUAUUGGACAAUGGGCGCAAGCCUGAUCCAGCAAUGCCGCGUGAGUGAUGAAGGCCUUAGGGUUGUAAAGCUCUUUUACCAGGGAUGAUAAUGACAGUACCUGGAGAAUAAGCUCCGGCUAACUCCGUGCCAGCAGCCGCGGUAAUACGGAGGGAGCUAGCGUUGUUCGGAAUUACUGGGCGUAAAGCGUACGUAGGCGGUUAUUCAAGUCAGAGGUGAAAGCCCGGGGCUCAACCCCGGAACUGCCUUUGAAACUAGGUAGCUAGAAUCUUGGAGAGGUCAGUGGAAUUCCGAGUGUAGAGGUGAAAUUCGUAGAUAUUCGGAAGAACACCAGUGGCGAAGGCGGCUGACUGGACAAGUAUUGACGCUGAGGUACGAAAGCGUGGGGAGCAAACAGGAUUAGAUACCCUGGUAGUCCACGCCGUAAACGAUGAUAACUAGCUGUCCGGUCACUUGGUGACUGGGUGGCGCAGCUACGCAUUAAGUUAUCCGUCCGUCGGGUAGGUACGGUCGCGAAGAAUUAAAACUAACAAAUAGAAUUAGUACGGCGUGAGACGUGCCGAACGGACGACGACGAGGGAGUAGG
rnacentral:rRNA from 1 species